rnacentral:lncRNA from 1 species
GCGACCGGGACAAAGGAACCGGCUGCGCGGGAGCGCGCCUGAGGGAGGCCGCGGGGGGCAGGGCCGGGACUGCGUUGAGACAGUCGCCGUGCCUCAGUUUCCUCCUCUGCGAAGGGCGGGAGGAGUCGGACGCGCCCUAGAGCCCCGCGCGUUCCUGGUGUAGCCUGCUGGGCCCGUGUUCUUUAAGUUCCUCUUCCUCGGAGCCGCGCGUUCGACCCUCGCUCCCGUUUGUCCACUGAUGUCCCGUUUCGAGCCCGGGAGAUCCUGCAUCUCGGAAGCCCCCUGAGUCCCGAGGCAAAUCGGGACCGUGAGCCCCCCUACCCUGCAGGGCUCCAUGGGGCCAAAAACCACGUGGUCCUUCUGGAAGGGAACUGGCUAAGCCAGGACUGCUUUUCUGGAGUGAUAAUGUGCUUGCCUGUGUCUAAGAGAAAGGUGAAGAAUUGGGAAACCCAUGGGUGUCACGAAGGGUGGUGAGACUGGGGAACGUUUUAGAAAACCUGUACCCUGGCUGAUAAAUGGGACUUGGAUUUUAAAUACCAUUGGAUAAUAAAUGUAUGUGAUGGCUUUGGAGCAAAUUGAUUGACAAUGGCUAGAAUCUCACUCUGUAGUCACCCAGGCUGGAAUGCAGUGGUGCGAUCUUGGCUCACUGCAACCUCCACCUCCCAGAUGCAAGCGAUUCUUGUGCCUCAGCCUCCCGAGUAGCUGGGAUUAAAGGCAUGCGCCACCACGCCCAGGAGACAGCUUCCCAAGGCUGGAAAGAGGGGAGUGCGGAACAUGCCUCCACCAUACCACUGCCCACCUCCUGUGACCUCUGCAGCAAAACCUGAAGCCCCAAAGAGGCAGCUUCUCAAAGUAAAAGUGGAAUGAAGAGUCGGGGUUUCACCAUGUUGCCCGGCCUGGUCUCGAACUCCUGGCCUCAAGUCUCUCUGGCUCAGCCUUCCAAAGUGCCAGGAUAACAGGCGUGAACCACGACACCCAGCUUGCUUUGUGUACUUCUAGGGGCUCAGGUGAACCACAUGAGUUCCUGGAUGUGCUUCCAUGUUUCACAGUGAAUUCAUGUUUUUGGUCCAAUCAUGACCAUUUAGACUGUUUAAGAAGGCUGUGUACCAGCUUUAAUAUUGUAUUUUAUGAUAUUAGUGAUCCCUGAAUUUUAUUUGAAAAAAUAUUAUUUUACUGAGUGAUUUAGUAGGCUUGAUCAUUUUCCUUGCAGCUUUCAUAUUUUGUGACACACUGAUUUAAGAAUCAAGUCUAUAUCUGAAUGUGAAAAAUCUGCAAUGAGGAUAGCAAACAAUUAUAUUGUUUUAAUAGAAAAAUUAUUUGAUAAUUUCCAUGUAUUGAUGAUUUCAGUAGAAUCUAUUCUGCAUUUAACCAACAAUCAGUAGUUCCCAAGCUAUUCCGUAGUUUUAGCUUUAACACAUAGUACAUGCUUAAUAAACAUUAGCUGAAUGAAUGAAUGAAUGAAUGACUAAAGACUUUCAGGACCUGGAAGGGAGGAUGUAAAGAACCCAGGGCCAAGUGUCAUGCAAGCACUGGAGCAUCUAGAUCCCCUCCGGACACCAGCUUCCUUUCCCACAACCCAAAUGUUCUUUUCCUUUUAUGAAUUUUCUUUAAUCGUGACAAAAUAUAUAUAAUAUAAAAUGUAUCAUUUUAACUGUUUGUAAAUGUACAGUUUGGUGUUAUUCAGUACAUUCACAUUGUUGCACAACCAUCACCACCAACUAUCUCCAGAGCUUUUUCUUCCUCCCCAACUGACAUCCUGUACUCAUUAAUCAAUAACUCUCCAUUCACCCUCCCCCGAGGGAGACUAUUCUUGUUAUUCUCUGUCUUUUUUUUUUUUUUUUUAAUAGCUGCCAUUCUAAGGGUAUGGCCUAAUUAGUUUUUAACUGGGUGAGAAGAUGAAGAAAAAAGAGCAAAUGAGCAUGAGAAUCCAGUAACAACCAAGCAGAACCGUUCUACUUUUGUCUCUCUGAAUGUGACACUCUAGGUACCUUGUAUAAAUGGAACGAUACAACAUUUCCCCUUCUGUGUCUGGCUGAUUUCACUUGGCAUAAUGUCUUCAAGGUUUCAUCAACAUUGUAGCAUGUGUAAGACUUUUAAUUCCUAUUUUUUUUUUUUUUUUUUGAGGCAGAGUCUCACUCCGUCACCCAGGCUGGAGUGCAGUGGCGCCAUCUCGGCUCACCGCAACCUCCACCUCCUAAGUUCAAGGGAUUCUCCUGCCUCAGCCUCCCGAGUAGCUGGGAUUGCAGGUUCCCACCACCAUGCCUGGCUAAUUUUUGUAUUUUUAGUGGAGAUGGGGUUUCACCAUGUUUGCCAGUCUGGUCUCAAACUCCUGGCCUCAAGUAACCCACCCACCUUGGCCUCCCAAAGUGCUGGGAUUAUAGGCGUGAGCCACCAUGCCUGGUCCUUCAUUCCUUUCUAAAGCUGAAUGACACCCCACUAUGUGCCAUUGCAUGUAUGUACCACAUUUUGCUUAUCCAUUAAUCCAUCAGUGGACAUUUGGGUUGUCUCCACCUUUUGGCUAUUGUGAAUGAUGCUGCUAUGAACAUGGAUGUAGAAAUAUCUGCUUGAACCCCUGCUUUCAAUUCUUUUGGGAAUAUACCCAGAAGUGCCAUUGCUGGAUCUAUGAUAAUUCUGUUUAACUUUCUGAAGAACUGCCAUACUGUUUUUUUGUUUGUUUUGUUUUUGUUUCUUGAGACAGAGUCUGGCUCUGUCGCCCAGGCUGGAGUGCAGUGGCGCCAUCUCAGCUCACUGCAACCUCUGUCUCCCACGUACAAAUGAUUUUCCUGCCUCAGCCUCCCCAGUAGCUGGGACUACAGGCGCGCUUCACCUCACCCAGAUAAUUUUUGUAGUUUUAGUAGAGACGGGGUUUCACCAUGUUGCCCAAGUUGGUCUUGAUCUCCUGGGGUCAAGCCAUCCACCUGCUUUGGCCUCUCAAAAUGCUGAUAUUACAGGUGUGAGCCACCAUGCCCAGCCUGCCAUAUGUUUUUGUUGUUGUUGUUGUUGUUGUUUACUGUGGCUGCUGUUGUUUACAUUUUCACCAGUAAUGCGCAGGGGUACUGAUUUCUCUACAUCCUCAUCAACACUUGCUAUUCUCUGUUUUGUUUGUUUUUUUUCUUAAGAGUUGCCAUUCUAAGGGUAUGACCUAAUUAGUUUUUAACUGGGUGAGAAGAUGAAGAAAAAAGAGAGCAAAUGAGCAUGAGAAUCCAGUAACAACCAAGCAGAACUAAAGACUCAAGACUUUCUAUAAGCAGCCAUGGACUAUCCCUUUGCCUUGGCCUGUUAUGGUUAUUUCUGAAGCAGUGAGAUCUCAAUACACUAAUAAGAAAACAGAGGCACACACCAGUUAUGUUUUAUGUCAACUAGGUUAUGACUUCAAACUGUUAUUCUCUGGAGUCAUAAAUAGAGCCUUUGGGUGAAACGACCUUAUAAAAAGUCUUUUGGAUACAAUGUUAACUAUUUUUUUGCAUAGAAUCCAGGAUCACUUCCCAAAUCCCUCUCCUUCACAAAGCAUACUCUUUCUGAAUAUAUAUAGCAAUUUAUAUAUAAUUCCAAAUAUAUAUGGCAGUUUAAGAACAUACAAUAAGGUCAAAGAAUUCAGAAAAAAAUAGAGGAAACUUAAGCAUUUAGAUCAGGAUUAUCACAUGUGUGAAUUGAUAUUACUUUAUACUAUUUUUCUCCAAAAUCAGUGGAAACUCCCCAAUUCCAGCAUUUGUUAAGAGUCCAGUAUUUAAUCAUUCCUUAAGUGCUCCCUUCCACUGCCCUCCCUGACACCUAAGCACACCCUUGGGUUCCCAUGUCCUCAAAGUGCCAUCUGCCUGACUACCACACCUGAGAGAGAACAGUACUCAUAUCAGAACAAUUUAACCUUGCUAUUGUUUCUCACUGACAAAUGGAGUUUUGCUGCAUAUUUGUCAUCCUCUGGCAACAGAUGGUGCUGGUCUACUUCACAGCAAUUCUGCUCCAUCCUGGUGCCCUCAUAAUCCUCCUAUAGGGAACAAGCUCAGCUGUGUGUGCUCCCAGCUCAAGUUCUCUCUUCAGUGAAUACAACCAUGCUCAGCAAUUGCUCCCAGGACAUAGACACUAUACCCAUCAGAAUAGCUGCAUUUGGAGGAACUUUUAUAAUAGCAUCAGUUUUGUGCUAGUCCAAACCAGCUCUCUUCCACAAAUUCUGGGGACUGGGCUUUAGUCUUGGUUACCAGUUUGGACACCCAUUUCCUCAAGAUAAUUUUUGAAAUAGACUUUAUUUUUUAGAGCAGUUUUAAGUUCAUAGCAAAAUCAAGCAGAAAGUAGAGAGUUCCCAUCUAGUGGUAUACAGAAUAGUUUACUGCUCCCAGAAUCUUUCUAUGUGCUGCCUAUUCUUUCUCCCUCCCCACUAUCUGCUGAUCUUUUUAUCUCUUUAUAGUUCUGCCUUUCCUAGAAUGUUGUGAAAUUGCAAUUAUACAGUAUUUAGCUUUUUUCGACUGGCUGCCUUCACUUAACAUAUGCAUUUAAGUUUCUUCCCUGUCUUUGUUUCUUGAAACAGGAUCUUGCUCUGUCACCCAGGCUGGAGUGUAGUGGCAUGCUCUUGGCUCACUGCAACCUCCACCUCCUGGGUUCAAGCAAUUCUCCUUCCUCAGCCUCCUGAGUAGCUGGGACUACAGGCGUGCACCACAACGCCUGGCUAAUUUUUGUAUUUUUAGUAGAGAUGGGGUUUCACCAUGUUGGCCAGGCUGGUCUUGAACUCCUGGCCUCAAGUGAUUCACCCAUCUCAUCUUCCCAAAGUGCUGUGAUUACAGGCAUGAGCCACUGCACCCAGCUUGAUAACUCUUUUUUUUGGUGUUUGUGGACCUAAAUUUUAAACUUAUUUGGGUAAAUUCCAAGGAGUGCAAUUGCUGGAAUGUAUGGUAAGAGUAUGUUUAGUUUUCUAAGAAACUUCCAAACUGUCUUCCAAAGCGGCUGUACCAUUUUGUAUUCCUACCAGCAAGGAAUGAAAGUUCCUGCUGCUUCACAUCCUUACCAGCAUUUAGAGUUAUCUGUAUUCUGAGUUUUGGUCAUUCUAAUAAGUGUAUAUAAUGGUAUCUCACUAUUGUUUUUGGCAAUUGACUAACAAAAUUUGAUGUUAAGCAUCUUUAAUAUGUUUAUUGGCCUUCUACAUAUCUUUUACGGUGAGGUAUCUAUUUGGAUCUUUUGCCUACUUUUUUAACUAAGUUGUCUAUUAGUCCAUUCUCACGUGCUAAUAAAAACAUACCCGACACUGGGUAAUUUGUAAAGGAAAAAAGUUUAAUUGACUCACAGUUCAGCAUGGCUGGGGAGACCUCACAAUCAUGGCAGAAGGCGAAGGAGGAGCAAAGGCACAUAUUACAUGGCGGCAGGCAAAAGGCACGUCUUACGUGGCAGCAGGCAGGAGAGUGUGUGCACAGAAACUCCCCUUUAUAAAACCAUUAGCUCUUGUGAGAUUUAUUCACUAUCUUGAGAGCAGCACAGGAAAGACUUACUCCCAUGAUUCAAUUACCUCCCACUGGGUCCCUCCCACAACAUGUGGGAAUUAUGGGAGCUACAAUUCAAGAUAAGAUUUGGGUGGGGACACAGCCAAACCAUAUCAGGUUGUUUGUUUUCUUAUUGUUGAGUUCCAAGAGUUCCUUGUAUACAUAUUUUGGAUAGCAGUCCUUUAUCAGAUAGGUCUUUGCAAUUACUUUUCUCCCAGUCUGUUGCUUGUCUUCUCUCUACAGUGUCUUUUCCAGAGCACCUCAGGAUAAUUUUAUUUCUGGAAACUCACAUUUCUUUUAUGCCACUGGGCCUUAGUUUGGACCAAAAUUACUCUGUUUUAAAAUUCCUUCCCCAGAGACUGCAUUCUUCUUAAGCAGAUUGAACCACAUCCUCCCUAAUAACCAAUUUUGAAUAGUAGGGACUCAGGUCAACUCUACUUAGUCACAGAAGGCUCUGUUAUACCCAAAUCUGAUGACAUGCUGUCUAGACACCCACAUUUGCCUGAAAGGGUCACACAGAUGACCCAUGACAGGAAAAACAUCAGACUAAAAAAACUUCUUGGGGCCAGGCACAGUAGCUUAUGCUUCUAAUCCCAGUACAUUGGGAGGCUGAGGCGGGCAGAUUGCUUGAGGCCAGGAGUUCCAGACCAGCUUGGCCAACAUGAUAAAACCCUGUCUCUACUAAAAAUACAAAAAUUAGCUGAGCAUGCUGGCGUGCACCUGUAGUCUCAGCUACUGGGGAGGCUGAGAUAGAAGAAUUGCUUGAGGCGGAGGUUGCAGUGAGCUGAGAUUCUACCACUGCACUCCAGUCUGGGCAACAGAGUGAGACUUCAUCUUAGAAAAACAAAACAAAACAAAACAAAAACCUUCUUGAUUAAAAUAUAUAGUUCUAAAACUAUUCUGUAGGACACUGUAAUGAUGGAUAUAUAUAAUUAUGCAUUUGGCGAAACUUACAGAAUGCAUAACACAAGGAGUGAAUCCUAAAGUCAACUAUGGACUUUAAUAAUAAUAAUGUAUCAAUAUUGGCUCAUUAAUUAUAACAAAUGCAUCAUACUAAUUCAAGAUGCUAGUAAUAGGGAAAAUUAUGGAUGUGUAUGUGUGUGUAGUGGGUAUAUGGGAACGCUCUUUACUCUGUGACCAAUUUUUCUGUUAAUCUAUAACUGUUCUAAAAAAAUUCUAUUAAUUAAAAUAAAUACACUGCCUCAAAUAUAUGUUUUAUUUAUAUAUCAAUUUGGUUCAUUUGUUUGAAGAACAUUUUGCAAUGGUGAAAACAACCAUUAAGGUACUAUCUUACAUUUAAUAAAUGCUGAUCAAUUCAUUAAGGUGAAAGUUUAAUUAUUUGAGCAAUUAAAUGUGGUAUCUUUUUUUUUUUUUUUGAGACACUUGCUUUGAGUCUUGCUUUCUUUUUUGAGACACUUGCUUUGUCUCCCAGGCUGGGGUGCAGUGGCUUAAUCCCGGCAUACUGCAACCUCCGCCUCCUGGGUUCAAGUGAUUCUCCUGCCUCAGCCUCCUGAGUAGCUGGGAUUACAGGCAUGCGCCACCACACCUGGCUAAUUUUUGUAUUUUUAGUAGAGACAGGGUUUCACCAUGUUGGCCAGGCUGGUCUCGAACUCCUGAUCUCAUGAUCCACCCACCUCAACCUCCCAAAGUGCUGAGAUUACAGACUUGAGCCACCGCGCCCAGCCUAAAUGUGGUAUCUUAAACAUACACCUUUGAUAUUCUGCCUCCCCACCAUCCCCCUCCCCUACCAGUUCUUUAUUAAAGCAACUCAACAAACAUAGAAGGAGAAAUUCUAUCUGCCCUCCCCCACUAGUUCUUUA